UACGAAGGGGGCUAGCGUUUGUUCGGAAAUCACUGGGCGUAAAGCGCACGUAGGCCGGAUCUUUAAGUCAGGGUGAAAUCCCGGGGCUCAACCUCGGAACUGCCUUUGAUACUGGGGAUCUCGAGUCCGGGAAGAGGUGAGUGGAAUUGCGAGUGUAGAGGUGAAAUUCGAUAGAUAUUCGCAAGAACACCAGUGGCGAAGGCGGCUCAACUGGCCCCGAGUAACUG
rnacentral:rRNA from 1 species